GCGGCGGCGGGCGCGACGGUGGUGCCGGUGCGGCCGUGGCUCGCACGCGGCGCGCUCGAAGCGGUCGCGCGCUUCUGGGGCGCGCGGCUGCGC
rnacentral:tRNA from 1 species